GUGCCCGAAAUAGGCGAGCAUCUGACUACGGAUCAGAAGGUUAGGGGUUCGAGUCCCUUCGGGCGCA
rnacentral:tRNA from 1 species